rnacentral:misc_RNA from 1 species
GUAGGAGAGCGAAUGACGCGUGUGCUGUUCGGGGAACGGCUUAUCGUCCGGUCCCAUGGUGCACCGGUAAUCGAACACGGACAGCGCCGCACUCUCAAACAGCGUGAUCUUCAUGGCCGGAUGUUAUCCCCGGCGUCGCCGCGGGGCNGACAGGCCAGGAUCGAACAGCAUCGGCGCAUCCUCAGAAGCGUGACCCGCGAUCCGCGCGCGUUCGAUGGCCAGCAUGCGGAACUUGGUGGUCACGCCGCCAUUGGCGGAAAACCCGCCGGUCUUGCCGUUAGCCGCCAGCACGCGGUGACACGGGAUCACGAUCGGCAGCGGAUUUUGCCCCAGUGCCUGUCCGACCGAGCGAGACAGCAGUUUGUCGCCGAUGCGUGUGGCGAUGUCGCCAUAGG